CCUACGGGAGGCAGCAGUGAGGAAUAUUGGUCAAUGGACGAGAGUCUGAACCAGCCAAGUAGCGUGAAGGAUGACUGCCCUAUGGGUUGUAAACUUCUUUUAUAUGGGAAUAAAAUGUUCCACGUGUGGGAUUUUGUAUGUACCAUAUGAAUAAGGAUCGGCUAACUCCGUGCCAGCAGCCGCGGUAAUACGGAGGAUCCGAGCUUUAUUCGGAUUUAUUGGGUUUAAAGGGAGCGUAGGUGGAUUGUUAAGGCAGUUGUGAAAGUUUGCGGCUCAACCGUAAAAUUGUAGUUGAAACUGGCAGUCUUGAGUACAGUAGAGGUGGGCGGAAUGCGUGGUGUAGCGGUGAAAUGCUUAGAUAUCACGAAGAACUCCGAUUGCGAAGGCAGUUCACUGGACUGCAACUGACACUGAGGCUCGAAAGUGUGGGUAUCAAACAGGAUUAGAUACCCCUGUAGUC
rnacentral:rRNA from 1 species